rnacentral:rRNA from 1 species
CAGUCGAACGAAGCACUUUAUUUGAUUUCCUUCGGGACUGAUUAUUUUGUCACUGAGUGGCGGACGGGUGAGUAACGCGUGGGUAACCUGCCUUGUACAGGGGGAUAACAGUUGGAAACGGCUGCUAAUACCGCAUAAGCGCACAGCAUCGCAUGAUGCAGUGUGAAAAACUCCGGUGGUAUAAGAUGGACCCGCGUUGGAUUAGCUAGUUGGUGAGGUAACGGCCCACCAAGGCGACGAUCCAUAGCCGACCUGAGAGGGUGACCGGCCACAUUGGGACUGAGACACGGCCCAAACUCCUACGGGAGGCAGCAGUGGGGAAUAUUGCACAAUGGGCGAAAGCCUGAUGCAGCGACGCCGCGUGAGCGAAGAAGUAUUUCGGUAUGUAAAGCUCUAUCAGCAGGGAAGAUAAUGACGGUACCUGACUAAGAAGCACCGGCUAAAUACGUGCCAGCAGUCGCGGUAAUACGUAUGGUGCAAGCGUUAUCCGGAUUUACUGGGUGUAAGGGAGCGCAGGCGGUGCGGCAAGUCUGACGUGAAAGCCCGGGGCUCAACCCCGGUACUGCAUUGGAAACUGUCGUACUAGAGUGUCGGAGGGGUAAGCGGAAUUCCUAGUGUAGCGGUGAAAUGCGUAGAUAUUAGGAGGAACACCAGUGGCGAAGGCGGCUUACUGGACGAUAACUGACGCUGAGGCUCGAAAGCGUGGGGAGCAA